rnacentral:rRNA from 1 species
GAUGAACGCUGGCGGCGUGCCUAACACAUGCAAGUCGAACGAAGCUUGACGGAUGAUUUCUUCGGAAUGAAACCAGAUAUGACUUAGUGGCGGACGGGUGAGUAACACGUGAGCAACCUGCCUUUCAGAGGGGGAUAACGGCUGGAAACGGUCGCUAAUACCGCAUGAUGUGUUCGGAUGGCAUCAUCUGAACAUCAAAGAUUUAUCGCUGAAAGAUGGGCUCGCGUCUGAUUAGAUAGUUGGUGGGGUAACGGCCUACCAAGUCUACGAUCAGUAGCCGGACUGAGAGGUUGAACGGCCACAUUGGGACUGGGAUACGGCCCAGACUCCUACGGGAGGCAGCAGUGGGGAAUAUUGCACAAUGGGGGAAACCCUGAUGCAGCAACGCCGCGUGAAGGAUGACGGUUUUCGGAUUGUAAACUUCUUUUCUUAGUGACGAAGACAGUGACGGUAGCUAAGGAAUAAGCAGCGGCUAACUACGUG